AGGUCAUAAUUCUACAGGUCGAGGAGUUUCACAAACAUAACUUCUUGGGAGCGGUGUCCAGGUCAAGAAAGAGAAAAGAGAAUGUGGCCAAUGCCCCAGGAUCUUAUUUGGUCAUCCAGGCUGGAGUGCAGUGGUGUGAUCAUAGCUCACUGCAGCCUCAAAGUGCUGGACUCCAGUGAUCUUCCAGCCUCAGCCUCCCCCAGUAGCAAGGACUACAGGGUCCCAGAAGGAACCAACGGUGACCACACCUUAAUUUGAGACUUCUGGCCUCUGAGAAAGAGUCUCACUCUCUGUCGCCCAGCCUGGAGUGCAGUGGCACCAUCUGAGCUCACUACAACCUCCGCCUCCCGGGUUCAAGCGAUUCUCCUGCCUCAGCCUCCUGAGUAGCUGGGAUUACAGGCACGCGCCACCACGCCCAGCUUAUUUUCGUAUUUUUAGUAGAGAUGGGGUUUCACCAUGUUGGCCACGCUGCUCUUGAACUGCUGACCUCAAGUGAUGCACCAGCGUUGGCCUCUCAAAGUACUAGGAUUACAGUGCUAGGAGCCACCAUGCCCGGCCGCCUCUCUUUCCUUUUACACAUGAAGAAAAAGUGGUCAGAGAAGUUAACUUGGUCAGUGCCAAAAACACUGGAAGUGAGUAGGACCAAGCUUUUCAUCUAGAUUUGUUAGACUCUAAAUCCAAAUUCACAACAGGAUCAGAAUAUGAGAAACCUAAGGAACAAAAUUCUAGGAAUCAUUUCUAGAAACUGUGACUACUGAAAAAGCACAGACCUAGGGAAUCAAAUUAUUUUCCCUGCCACCAGCACAUGGGUAGGCCUGCGACAAAUUCCAUGCUCUGGACCCCAGAUUCCUCAGUGAGAAUAGAAGGGGCUAGAGACAUCAGGGCAUUGGAUUUGGUGACUUUAAUACCCACUCAGCUCCAAAGCAUUCUUGAAUGAUGCACGAUUUAUGAAUAUAUAUAUUGAAAUUUACUGAUGGGUGAACAGCUCUCAACAUGAGAUUUUUGUUGUAUGCCUUAAAAAAAAAUUAUACAGAAAUAUGCGUGUGUGUGUGUAUGUUUCGAUGUCUAUGAACCCAUGAUCUGAAAAAUGGCCACUGUGGCUUGUGGAAACCUAUUAAUGUCUGCCGUUCCACCCAACAUCCUCAGAGAAAAAAAUAAACAGCUUUUUGAAAGU